ACAGGGUCCCUUCUGGCAGUCGAC
rnacentral:siRNA from 1 species